rnacentral:rRNA from 1 species
UACGUAGGGGGCAAGCGUUGUCCGGAUUCAUUGGGCGUAAAGAGCGUGUAGGCGGCCAGGUAGGUCGGUUGUGAAAACUGGAGGCUCAACCUUCAGAGGUCGACCGAAACCAUCUGGCUAGAGUCCGGGAGAGGAGAGUGGAAUUCCUGGUGUAGCGGUGAAAUGCGCAGAUAUCAGGAAGAACACCCGUGGCGAAAGCGGCUCUCUGGACCAGCACUGACGCUGAGGCACGAAAGCGUGGGGAGCAAACAGG